rnacentral:lncRNA from 1 species
GCUGCCCAGGACAAGAAGAAGAAACAUGCUGGAAACGUGGUAAAGAAAGACAAACUUCCAGUGAAAAAAUCUGGUGGUAAGCCCCAAAAAGUAGUAGUAGUCCAAAGGCAAAGUCUGGGACAAGCUCAAUAACCUAGUCUUGUUUGACAAAGCAAAUAUGACAAAACUCUGUAGAGAAGUUCCCAACUGUAAGUUUAUAACUCUAGCUGUCGUCUCUGAGAGACUGAAGAUCCGUGGUUCCCUGGCCAGGGCAGCCUUUCAGGAACCCCUUAGUAAAGGACUUAUUAAACUGGUUUCAAAGCACAGAGUUCAAGUAAUUCACGCCAGAAACACCAAGGAUGGAGAUGCCCCAGCUGCUAGUGAAGAUGCAUGA